GUGAAAGAGACCUAGGGCUUGGACAAAACGUCUAGAGCCACAGCAUUCCUAGCUGGCUCUCCCCUUGAACACUGAGCAGAAGGCUGGGGCUGAAGGAGGCAGAGUGGAGGGGAAAGGCAGGCUGGAGAGGGAGAGCCGGGCAUGGGGUACAGCAGCUAAGAGGCCGGGGGGUUAGGAGGCUGCAGGCCUGGCGAGGCUGGGGGGCAAAAAGUGAGAAGGUGGCAUGGCGGGAGGGCACGGGAGCCUGGCUAAGGUGGGAGUAAGGUGAGGGAGAUGGAGGCCGCGGUGAAGAUAGAGCUGGGAGAGGGAUACGAGGCUGAAGGAGGGAUGAAGAAGGUAGAGGAAGAGGAGGCCAGGUGGAGAACACAAGACGAACUGAGGACUGGGAGAAAGAGUCAGAAACAGACAGAGUGUAUGUUUCUUUUCCUGUGUAGAAAUACUGCUUGAGUGUCGGAAAAGAUUUGAAGAAGUCGUCUGAAACCGGUUCAGGUGCAGAAACUAAACAGAGACAGGCAGCGAGAGAAUCAGAGAAAAACCAGAGAAAAUCUCUUUCCAGCUCCAGGAGUCUGUUUUCCUUUUCCUGCCAAGGAUGUAACACUGGUUUGGACAGUGGGGCAACGUCCAAUCAGACAACAGCACUGGAGGCCUUGUCAUAAUGACAAGCGUGACAUCACUGCAAGGGCGAGCGGAGAGAAGACAGCGGAGCUCCAGACAGGCAGCGGGGCACCGCGGCGCCGCGCGGCCGCCACGGCGCGCCGGCUGCCGGAUCCAAAACGCGCGGACUACCGCGGGGGCUGGCGGAGGAGAGGACGCGGAGGGUUGGACUGUUUCGCGGCCGGCGCACGGAGCACCGCGCCCCGGGCGGACUGGGGCUGGUUCACCGGGGGAGGAAGCGACGGGAAGAUGUGGAGGAUUGAAGGAAAACGGCUUCUUGUUUUAUUUCAACACGAGAGGAAGACAACUCCCAAACUGGCAUGAUGUAACAGGAGAGAAGAUGGAAUCAAGAGACCAGGACGUUGGAUGAACCGGAUGGCAAGUGGGGACUGAGGAGCAGUAAUCUCCACUGUUCAAUUAGCUGCAGGAACCAGGCCCACGCCACCUACACUUCCUGACCACAGGGGGAAAGGUGAUCGUGAUGGUGGAACGUCCAACCGGGAGGAACACAAGAGCUGGAGAAGAUGCUGAUGCUGUGACUUCACACACACACACACACACACACACACACACACACACACACACACACACACACACACACACACACAGGCUGCAGUAUGAACCAGUUCCAGGUGAAUCAAACUGAAUUAAAGUGAAUUGAUCUGAACCUGAAUGGUUUCAGUUGGACGGGCACCAGGACACUUGACUCUACCUGCUGUUCUUGGCUCUUUAUGUUUUAUUUUCACCGUCGGGCCUCAGAACUGCUUGUUCCUCUCAUGUCUGUGUGGGUUUUAUCCAGCUGACACCGGGUCGUCGGCGGGUUGAUCCCCGGCUCGUCUAGGCCACUUGCCAAACUGUCCUGGGGCAAGAUAGUGAACCCCAAACAGACUGAGGGCUGUGUGUUAAUCUACAGUUGUAUUAAUCUAUAUUAAUCUGUUCAGAGCCAGAAGAAGCUGCAACAUGUUUCUGUUUUGUUCUUUUUUUUUAAAGCUGGAAAAUAAAGCACCUUGUUCUUUUAUACAUAUUAAAUAAAGAUGAAAUGAAACCAGACAAA